UGGGGAAUAUUGGGCAAUGGGGGAAACCCUGACCCGGCAACGCCGCGUGAAGGAAGAAGGCCCUCGGGUUGUAAACUUCUUUUAGCAGGGACGAAGGACGUGACGGUACCUGCAGAAAAAGCAACGGCUAACUACGUGCCAGCAGCCGCGGUAAUACGUAGGUUGCAAGCGUUGUCCGGAUUUACUGGGUGUAAAGGGCGUGUAGGCGGAGCUGCAAGUCAGAUGUGAAAUCCCGGGGCUCAACCCCGGAACUGCAUUUGAAACUGUAGCCCUUGAGUAUCGGAGAGGCAAGCGGAAUUCCUAGUGUAGCGGUGAAAUGCGUAGAUAUUAGGAGGAACACCAGUGGCGAAGGCGGCUUGCUGGACGACAACUGACGCUGAGGCGCGAAAGCGUGGGGAGCAAACAGGAUUAGAUACCCUGGUAGUCCACGCUGUAAACGAUGAAUACUAGGUGUGGGAGGACUGACCCCUUCCGUGCCGCAGCUAACGCAAUAAGUAUUCCACCUGGGGAGUACGACCGCAAGGUUGAAACUCAAAGGAAUUGAC
rnacentral:rRNA from 1 species